UGCGUAGGCGGAUCAAUAAGUCAGUGGUGAAAUCUCUCGGCUCAACCGGGAAACUGCCAUUGAUACUGUUGAUCUUGAGUUCGGUUGAGGUAGGCGGAAUGUGUAAUGUAGCGGUGAAAUGCUUAGAUAUUACACAGAACACCAAUUGCGUAGGCAGCUUACUAGACCGACACUGACGCUGAGGCACGAAAGCGUGGGGAGCGAACAGGAUUAGAUACCAUGGUAGUCC
rnacentral:rRNA from 1 species